UCCAGACUCCUACGGGAGGCAGCAGUGGGGAAUAUUGCACAAUGGGGGAAACCCUGAUGCAGCGACGCCGCGUGAAGGAAGAAGUAUUUCGGUAUGUAAACUUCUAUCAGCAGGGAAGAAAAUGACGGUACCUGACUAAGAAGCCCCGGCUAACUACGUGCCAGCAGCCGCGGUAAUACGUAGGGGGCAAGCGUUAUCCGGAUUUACUGGGUGUAAAGGGGGCGCAGACGGCGAUGCAAGCCAGGAGUGAAAGCCCGGGGCCCAACCCCGGGACUGCUCUUGGAACUGCGUGGCUGGAGUGCAGGAGGGGCAGGCGGAAUUCCUAGUGUAGCGGUGAAAUGCGUAGAUAUUAGGAGGAACACCAGUGGCGAAGGCGGCCUGCUGGACGAUGACUGACGCUGAGGCUCGACAGCGUGGGGAGCAAACAGGAUUAGAUACCCGAGUA
rnacentral:rRNA from 1 species